rnacentral:rRNA from 1 species
UGAGUAACCUGCCCUGGACUUUGGGAUAACCCUCGGAAACGGGGCUAAUACCGGAUAUGACGGCUCACCGCAUGGUGUGGUUGUGGAAAGUUUUUCGGUCUGGGAUGGGCUCGCGGCCUAUCAGCUUGUUGGUGGGGUGAUGGCCUACCAAGGCGACGACGGGUAACCGGCCUGAGAGGGCGACCGGCCACACUGGGACUGAGACACGGCCCAGACUCCUACGGGAGGCA